GGUCAGAGUGGUAGCACCCAGGGUGGUGAUGCCACAGGUGGUGAUGCGUCUCAGUAGAAAUCUGAUAAACCAUCAAAUUAAUAACCGUGUCAUAGAUCCGAUCCUGUCACAUGGAAGAUCUAACACUACGGAGUAUCGACAGACCGCUGACGCCGAAAGGAAACGAAAUCCUGG